AUGUUCUCUUUCAACAUGUUCGAUUACUGGAUUCCCUGGGUCUUCCAAAACCGCAUCUCCACACAGUACCGCUGCUUCUCAGUGUCCCAUGCUAGCAGGGUCUAAUGGCAGUAAUUAUGUCACCCUCAGCCCUUGAUCAACUUAGCUGACUUAACAUUACCUAUUCUAUGCUAUUCAAACUGACUAAUAAGAAUUCAGACCGCAUGAUGCACUGUGGCAUGCUGGAGUUUGUGGCUGAUGAGGGCAUCUGCUACCUCCCACAUGGAUGAUUCAGAACUUGCUCUUGGAAGAAGGAGGCCUGGUCCAGGUGGAGAGUGUCAAUUUUCAAGUGACCACCUACUCCGAAUUCCAGCCUCAGAGCCCUGUUUUCUUGGACAUCACCAAUGCCAAAGCUGUAUUAGAAAAUGCGCUGAGAAACUUUGCCUGUCUGACCACUGGAGAUGUGACCGCCAUCAACUAUAAUGAGAAGAUCUAUGAAUUGCGACUGAUGGAGACCAAACCUGACAAGGCUAUGUCCAUCAUUGAGUGUGACAUGAAUGUGGACUUUGAUGCUUCGCUAGGCUACACAGAACCUGAAAGACAAGUCCAGCACGAUGAGUUGACAGAAGGUGACACUGACCACAGUGGUUAUGCUGGAGAGCUGGGCUUCCAGGCCUUCUCCAGGUCUGGAAAUAGGCUAGAUGGAAAGAAGAAAGGAGUCGAGCCUAGCCCCUCCCCAAUCAAGCCUGGAGACGUUAAAAGAGGAAUUCCCAGUUAUGAAUUUAAACUUGGUAAGAUCACUUACCAAGUUCAUCAGAAAUUCAUGUCCACUGUUCAAAAGGUUGAAGAGGAUGAAGCUGGAUGCAGAUUUGUCCCUUUCUCUGGAGAAGGACAGUCAUUGUGUGAAAAGGGAAGAAAGCCUUGAGCUGGAACUGUUAGCUGAUUGAAAAACAGUAAAAGAAUCAUUG